AAAUAUGAAUAAUUUCGUUUGAAUAUUUGAUCAAAGACUUUUAAAGCUAUACUAUAACUCAUGUUUGUUUAUCAAUAAAGACAUUAUAGCGGGAGACAACAUUUUAUAUGCGCUUCAGUAUUAUUACUGUCUGUCACUAUCAUCAGCCAUUAAUGCAAAUAUUGGUCGAUGUCAUGUACACUUAACUCUCCUGUCCGCUAUAUUGAUUUUCUGUACUACAAGAUAGUAAAAAGCACGAUUUUAUGGAAACUAUCUCUCAGAUAUUUUAUGAUCAGUUCCAUUGUUUUGACAUAUUACUGGAAUAAAGAAUAACUAUGACUGUCAAAGACACUACAUGUUCACAUCCUACUAAUCAAUCAAUUGCGAAAGGACAGAAAUUUGCUGCAGACGAGACUCAACAAAUCUCAGAUGGAAUGAUUGGUGCAAUAUUGGUUGCUAUGGAUACAAAAGCAGACAUGAACAUAGUGGAGUUCAGUUACGAUAUAUCUGACAUAGAACUUGCACCCGGAGAUCCUAUACCCAAUUCUGACCUUCCUACUAGAAUCAAAAAGAACAAAAAGAUAAAGAAAAGAAGGAAAAAACAAGACAAUGACGAUAACAAUAGACAAUAUAUUUUCUCAAUGCACAGACGAGUAAAAAGGACUCACUCUACUGCAGUGCUAAAAGUUGAAUGAUAUAUGAACAACUAUAUUAUUAUGUAGUGCUGAACUAAACUUUGAUCUCAAUCAUCAUUCAUUCUAGAUACGUUAUUUUGUUUGAAAUAGAGAUAUAAGUAUGUACAUCUUUGAAACAUGAAGUCGAUAUUUUAGUUUGUUCUUAAUUAAAGGGAAGUAACUUGAUUUUUAUAAAAUAAUACAAUUCCUAAUAUUAAUUAUUAAAUGUUCUUAUAGGAUCACGCCUAACUUAUACAUGAAAAUGAACAUCUUUUUUCUAUAAAAUAUAUCUAUUAUAUUGGUAUUUAACAUAAAAAUGAAUAAAUGCUGACAAUGUUAAAUAAUGUACAUACGAGAUCGUAAUUUUGUGUAUUUUGACAUGAUUUCGAUUUAUAAAAUGUGUCAUAUAUGUAUUUAUACAUUUUUUCAUAAUAAUGCAUUUUUACGAGUAUAAUAUUGCACUAAAAUAUAUUUAUAUAUUGAUGAAUUGUAAUAAAAAUGAUGUUUCAAAACGCAUGGUAUAUGUAGCAUAAAGAACAUUCCGUCUUUCCUAGUUGAUCUUGUUUGUCAUAUUUUACCAUAGAGUAUAAUUUCUAACUAAGGGGAGGGAAGCAAGUUGACAAUGUAAAAACCUUAAAUUGAAUUUGCCAUUUAUAAUUUAAAUUGCAGUUAGAAAUAAGAUUCGAUAUUUUAUUAUUUUUGUACAAAACUAUCAGAGUUUUAUUCAAUUAUGUAAAUGCUAAUGUGUACAGUUCAUUUUUUUUUCAAGUAGAAAGUACGGCUAGAAUAAUGUUUUAAUUA